GGCACUCGAGCGUUUAACAUUCACACUGCUAUAUAUAACAAGAUGCAAAAGCAGCCGAUUGUUUCACUCAUCAAUGCUCGGUCUAAAUCACUGUACUUAGAAACGUGAAAGGUGAAAUUUGAACAGUAUGCUAUUUUUAUGACAUAGACACGAGGAUUGAAAAGAUUUUUGUAAAUAUAAACGCUAAAUAGGUGAAACAGGUGAACAAAUUUUUGUUUAGGGGAUAUCCAUAUCCUACGUGUUGCUAAACUUGAAAACGUGAAAUCCGGCAAACAAACUCCUUAUUAAAAAUAAAUAAACACGCGUCUGAGUAUUUUUUGAAAUUCAACUCCUAAAUGGUGUUGAAACAGAGGAUGGUAAACAAUAAAUUGUCAUAAAAACAAAUACUGUGCGGAUGGGAUAGCUGAUUUAACGAUAAGUGUAAAAGUAUACGACAAAUGAUUUGUAUGUAAUUUCUACGCGUUGGUGUAGAAUGUAGCAGAAAUUCGAUUGCGCGAGUAUGCGAACUAUAGCGGUGGCUACGUUGAAGCAGGAGAACAGGCGCGCUUGCUACGAGAAAUAGCAAAUAGCAGCGAGAUAUAAAGUAAAUUGCUACAAGAAAUAAAAAUAGCAGAAAUAAGACAGAGUGGCGUUGUUUCGAAGAAGAAACAUGAGACGAAGGAAGCAUGGUAAGGAAGCGCGUAGUAGAACGUAGUAGCAUCACGUUACCAAAGCCCGGCACAUCUGAUAGAUCAACCACUUAUGUAUGCUUAUCGAUCGACUCUACAAUUCUAUGGCGACGUAUAAUGGUGCACCUGCGUGUACACAGGUGUGUGUAUGUGUGGGUAUGCGUAUACAGGUGUUUCAGCUAUACAAAGGCGAUUUACAAGCGAUUAUAAUGUUGCUCUUAACACGUUCAUGACAACAGAAUUUCGACAUAUCAUUGCUUUAUGAACAAACUCACAGCUGGUUUCCGUUUGUUUCAUGACAUUCUAUGUAUUUAAUAAUAACGAUUCUAACUAUAUUAUAACUAUUGUGUGAAAACGCAUGUUUUCCUUUUUUUAAAUUAAACGGUAGCAUUUUUAGCGUAUUCUCUCUAUUACAGGAAUGAGAACGGUUUAACGAAUAUAAGUUGUACAAUAUUUUAUUUUCGCGCUACAAAGGAACUUUUUGCAAUGAAUUUCUCAGAAAUUUCUAGCCAGACUGCUGCAAAGUGUUUCUUUAGCAGACUACAAAUUGAAGCGCGUUUACAGAGAAAUACCGUUAUUCGGAUAUCGAUUGGAUUGUAUGUGUAAACGCAAAUUUUAUUCGCGUUAAUUUCACCGAAUUAAUUGUUACAAGUCUCACAAUUUAUGUAAGUAAUACGCAGUAGAAAGAGCUUUGUCUUUGGAGGACGAGAACAAAAUGAAUUAUAAGACAGAAGGAAAAAUAAAUAUUCUGAAUUGAACUGAACAGAAAAUACACCUCGAUAUAAUAACUGGGAGGAAAAUAUAUCUAUAGGACUGACGGUAAUUUACCGAAGUACUCACACCAUACAUCUUUUGGAACAAACAUAAGAACCAAUUCAAUUAUUAAACUUGAAUCUGUAACUGUGUUCAGAACUGAUCCAAUUAGUCAGAUUUAUUUGGUUAUCUGCAAGCAGUAAAUAACGCGAACUUAUUCUAUAAUCAAUUCCAAAUAUUCUGAUAAUUUCUGUAGUGAAAUAGUGUAAUGCGCGACUAUCUUGAAACUACAUACUACAAGUUUUCUCUGCGCUGCAGUAUAUUUAAAAUGAUAGUAUGAAACAUCGUAAUGGUACGACAGUUAAAAUUGAACGUUUCAAUGAAUAAUAAAAGUGAUGUUACUGGGAAUGUAAAUGCUUAAAACGUAACAGUCACACAACUUCGUAAUAAAUGUUCCAUAAUGCAUACAGCAGUCGAGAAAGUAAACUAAUUUAUCGAACGUGCGACAGUAGUUACAUAAUGUAGUACGAUCUAUAAUUUUCCGAAGAUUUAUUGUUCAAAUUAAAUGGACUGAGCCCGCCGGUGAUUAAUGGUAACGAUUACACCAGCAAUUAUUCAAUUUUUAAUUUAUUUUAAUACGUUGGACAGGAGUGUAAUUGUUAUUGAUGUAUACGUGGAAAUGAAUGGAAUACGUUGCGAAGUUUUAUUCGACAUACAUGUAUAGUACAUUUUAGAGGAAAAGAAUAUGAUAAUAACAAUGCGAUUUGCGUGAUAUACACACAGAUGUAUACUGAUUUAAAUAUUAAUUUAAUUGUAAAUUUGAGAGUUCUAUUGAUACAAAUAUUUGGAAAAAUUUUUAUACAAAUAUUUAUAUCGUAUUUAAAUAAUAUCGUAUAUAAAAAUUAGUAAAUCAUUAAAUGGAGUAAACAUCUUUAUUACCAUUUAUUAUUCAAUUUUAACUGUUAUCUCAAUAGCUGCCGUAGUAUAAAAAUAACAGGAAAUGUUAGA